UACAGAGGGUGCAAGCGUUGUUCGGAAUUAUUGGGCGUAAAGGGCGCGUAGGCGGUGCUGUAAGUCGGGGGUGAAAUCCUGGAGCUCAACUCCAGAACUGCCUUCGAUACUGGAGAGCUUGAGUCCGGGAGGGGUGAGUGGAACUGCGAGUGUAGAGGUGAAAUUCGUAGAUAUUCGCAAGAACACCAGUGGCGAAGGCGGCUCACUGGCCCGGUACUGACGCUGAGGUGCGAAAGCGUGGGGAGCAAACAGG
rnacentral:rRNA from 1 species